CCGGCACGGGUGAGUAACACGUAUCCAACCUGCCGUCUACUCUUGGACAGCCUUCUGAAAGGAAGAUUAAUACAAGAUGGCAUCAUGGGUCCGCAUGUUCACAUGAUUAAAGGUAUUCCGGUAGACGAUGGGGAUGCGUUCCAUUAGAUAGUAGGCGGGGCAACGGCCCACCUAGUCUUCGAUGGAUAGGGGUUCUGAGAGGAAGGUCCCCCACAUUGGAACUGAGACACGGUCCAA
rnacentral:rRNA from 1 species